rnacentral:pre_miRNA from 1 species
GGGGGGAACGCAGGAUCCUAGGCUGUGUCCCCCGGCACCCUGGGAUCCCGGGUCUGUGCUGCUGGAAUUGCGCUCCCGGGCUACGGCUCCCA